CCGCUUGAUGAAGAAGAAAUUGUCGCCAACAUUCUCAACGGAUUGGACUUUGAAUACAAUCCCGUGGUGUCUGCUCUAGUAACUAGAUUGGAGCCGAUCUCAGUAGCUGAAGCAUAUGCACAACUUCUCAGCUUUGAGA